GUCAGCAUAAUACAGUGGUUUGAGCAUUGGGCUACAACCCUGGAGACCUGGGUUCGAAUCUCAAUUCUGCCU